rnacentral:lncRNA from 1 species
CGAAGUCAAGUAACCUUUGCCUUCUCAACUCUUAAGAGAAUGGGCGAAACCGAGUACCCCAAUUCUCUUAUCUAUCCAGUAGAGGAGCUCUGCCCAAGUUCAAAGACCCUUCGAAGAUAAUGGAAGAUAAUAGUUGUCAAAUCCUCACCAACGGUGAUCAGUGCUACUGAGAGUAGAUUGUCCGCUUCAUUUCCCAACGAAAUGGCAAUCGAAAGCGAAAGUGAUGCGAACCUACUUGGAUGUGAC